UACGGAGGAUGCGAGCGUUAUCCGGAUUUAUUGGGUUUAAAGGGUGCGUAGGCGGGCCUUCAGGCCGGCGGUAAAAUUGCGGGGCUCAACCCCGCCGAGCCGUCGGAACCGGGGGCCUUGAGUACCGGAGAAGUACGCGGAAUGCGUGGUGUAGCGGUGAAAUGCAUAGAUAUCACGCAGAACUCCGAUUGCGAAGGCAGCAUACCGGCGCCCAACUGACGCUGAAGCACGAAAGCGUGGGUAUCGAACAGG
rnacentral:rRNA from 1 species